rnacentral:other from 1 species
CAAUACCUGCGGUGUUCGAGCAGUGAGUUAAUACUCUUUAACCCUAUGACUGAUAAUGCUAGGGAGCUGGAUUUAUAAUAUAAGUGUGCAUGUCUAUUUAGCUAGAAAGCCUUCUAUAUUAUACGGUGCACCCACUUGAACUAAAAUUGGUUCAAGAGCAAUAUUCACAACGGCACUGCGGGUUUUUG